UAUAAUAGGGAUAUAGCUAGUUAAGAUCACUAUGAAUUCUUGAGUGGUUUAAAUCCUAAACCAGUCACUUAACUAGUUGUGUGGCCUUUGGUAUAAAUUACCUAGCAUCUCUGUGCUUCAGUUUCCUCAUUUAUAUAAUAAAACAGUGUAUUGUGAGGAUUCAGUAAGUUAAUGAAAGAUGUUAGGACCGUGUCUGGCACAAUGUAAUCUAUACAUAAGUGAAAGGUGCCAUUAUUCUUACAUGUUUUAUCUUUUCUAAAUAAUAGAGGAAACACAUCAUUGUAGCUAAGUACAGAUUUCCUUUUUAAACAUUUUUCAGGAAAGGAGACAAUACAUUCUCUCUUGGAAAUCAGCUGGCCAAUCUAAAGACACUUUCAAUUUACCAUUAUUUCAAUUCAAAGUUUAUCCUCAUUUUUAUUUGUCUCUUUUUUGAGACGGGGCCUUACUAUGCAGCUUUAACUGGGCUGGAACUCACUAUGUAGACUGAUCUCAAAUUCAGAGAUCUUGCCUGCCUCUGCCUCCUGAAGGCUGGGAUUAAAGGUUUGUACCACUCUGCCUGAGAGCUCAGUACCUAAGAAUCCUAUUGAGACCUUUUUUUCUAUUUUUUUUUCUUUUUAGUUACAUGAGCUACAGAAGGUGAUAGAAUUGCCCCAGUGCAGCCUACAGUAUCCUAGUAACCUGCAUCCUUAACAUCCUUAGAAGCCUCUGAUUUUCUCUUACUCUGUGUCACGUUUUCUGUACAACAUGUUCCAGACAUUUUCUAUUAUCAGAUGAGCAUCUAACCUCUUACAUCUAAUUAGAAUUGAGACUGACUGAAAUUUUAUUCUUGUUUUUCCAUACUUAGAAACCUUAUUCUUCCUUCCAUUAUACCNNNNNNNNNNNNNNNNNNNNNNNNNUUUUUUUUUUUUUUUUUGGUUAUUUUAUUUGUUUAUAUUACAAAUGUUAACUCCCUUCCCCGUUUCCCCUCUGCAAGCCCCCUAUCCCACCCCCUUCUCUUUCUAUUAUACUUGCAUCUGAAGCAGAAGGAUCCUUCUUCUUGGUUUUAUACUGUCCUCUAUCUUCAGGGUGGCUUCGUGUACUUUAUUUUCUAUUCUGGUGUAUUCCCUAUUACUUAGGCAUAAGCUCUUGUAUUUGAUUUUAAAACAGUCUCAUGUUGGCUUCCUUCCAUCUUCCUGUCUCUAUUUCCCAGGUGCUAGGAUUAAAAGCAUGUACCAUCAUGCUGGAAUUAGAAAUAGUUCUAUCACCUUUAAAGGGAAGUGAAGCUGUGUCAGUCACAUGAAUUCUGUAAAUUACUUCUGUUUCUUUAAACUCCUCCUUGUACCUCUUAUUUCUUCCUCUUCUCUGCUUUCUCCUUCCCCUAAGUCUGCACCUAUGUCCCACCAGGAAAUCAAGGACAUUUUUCCCUGUUAGUGUAUUUAUUCAUUAGUAGUGCAAGUCUGAACUUUUGACUUUUCACUGUCUUUGCCACUCUAUACAAAUAAUGAGCCAGCAUUGUCUUCUGGGCCCUUAAUUUCUAUAUGGUAUCUCACACUAAGCCCAGCCACCUGCUUCUAUAAAUAACCUUUUGUUUAGGUUGCUCUGUCAACACCCCCACAUUGUGAAUUUAGGCACUCUCCAAAGUUGUAUAAUCUGUCUAAUCAGAUGUCAGGGCUCAUGGCUGUAAUUCCAGCGGUUUGUAGCUUGAAGAAAGAGGAUUGGUGUAGGUUUGAGCCCCAGUUUAGCCUACAUAGUGAGUUCCAGGCCAGGGUGAGCAACAGAAUAUAAGGUACUGUC
ensembl:sense_intronic Gm42659 predicted gene 42659